AAGCUCGUAGUUGAAUUUCGGCACGAUGAUGGGCUGGUCGGGCGCAAUGCUCUGUACCGUCCAUGUCGUGCUCCUUAUAGGAUACUCACCUCUGUCCUUAACUGGAUGGAGGUAAAACGAGGCGGCGCCGGGGGGUCAACCCUCGACGUCGUCUUGGAGUUCCUAUUCGUUUACUUUGAAUAAAUUAGAGUGUUCAAAGCAGGCAAUCGGGCCUUGAAUACAUUAGCAUGGGAUAGUGGAACAGGAUUGGGGUCCUGAUUUCGUUGGUUUCUAGG
rnacentral:rRNA from 1 species